UCCGAAGGCAGGUAAGCCACUGACUGACGCACAUUGCGCCCCUUCUUAACCCCACUGUGCGUGUGACAGCGGCUAACCAGUCUUUGGGCGUCCAUCAC
rnacentral:pre_miRNA from 1 species